GAGACUCUGUGCGCGUGCAUAUCAAUAAGCGGAGGAAAAGAAACUAACAAGGAUCCCCUUAGUAACGGCGAGUGAAGCGGGAAGAGCUCAAAUUUGAAAUCUUCAAGGUUUUACCUUGACGAAUUGUAGUUUAAAGAAGUGUUUUCUGUUGAAGUUUUGGUAAAAGUUCUUUGGAAUAGGACAUCAUAGAGGGUGAGAAUCCCGUAUUUGACCAUUAUUUUCAGCUGUGUGAUACACUUUCAAAGAGUCGGAUUGUUUGGGAAUGCAGUCCAAAAUGGGUGGUAAAUUUCAUCUAAAGCUAAAUAUUGGCGAGAGACCGAUAGCGAACAAGUACCGUGAGGGAAAGAUGAAAAGAACUUUGAAAAGAGAGUUAAACAGUACGUGAAAUUGUCAAAAGGGAAGCGUUUGACACCAGUGUUGUUUUCUCGAAAAUCAAUUAAAAAAAGUUGGAUUUUGUGUUGUAUUGACCUUAACAGCUUGCUUCACUCUUUUCCUGCUUUUUUUAAUGCACUUUUCGUUUAACAAGUCAACAUCAGUUUCUUUUGUUGUAAAAGGGUCAUUGGAAGGUGGCUUUCUUUCGGAGAAAGUGUUUAUAGCCUUUGAUCUCUGCAAUCGGAGAGACUGAGGUCUGCAGCGUAGAUCCUUCGGGGUUAGAUACAUUUGUGCUAAGUUAUAGCUUUUCAUAGACAACUUGUUGACUAUGUUUAGUCAUGUGACUUACUCGCUUAUGCUAUUUUACCUACGCUUAGGAUGUUGAAUCUGUGCGAGACUAC
rnacentral:rRNA from 1 species